UCGGGAAUUUUGGGCAAUGGGCGAAAGCCUGACCCAGCAACGCCGCGUGAGGGAUGAAGUAUUUCGGUAUGUAAACCUCGAAAGAAUGGGAAGAAUAAAUGACGGUACCAUUUAUAAGCUCCGGCUAACUACGUGCCAGCAGCCGCGGUAAUACGUAGGGAGUAAGCGUUGUUCGGAUUUACUGGGCGUAAAGGGCGCGUAGGCGGCGCGGUAAGUCACUUGUGAAAUCUCUGAGCUUAACUCAGAACGGCCAAGUGAUACUGCUGUGCUAGAGUGCGGAAGGGGCAACCGGAAUCCUUGGUGUAGCGGUGAAAUGCGUAGAUAUCAAGAGGAACACCUGAGGCGAAGGCGGGUUGCUGGGCCGACACUGACGCUGAUGCGCGAAAGCCAGGGGAGCAAACG
rnacentral:rRNA from 1 species